UGGCUUAUCUGCAAUGGGUUCAACAGUUACUUUGGAGAUAGUCUUGGCCUUUUUAGCAACCUUGGGUCUAGAUUGCUUAAGUUGUUGAUAAUCAAAGGCAUCAGGCGAGAUUUCUUGCUUCUUUCUUUUUGGGGUAAAAGAACUAAGCCACGGAGGUAGAGUCAUCAACUCUCCUUCAAUAACAAAUGCAAGUAGAGGAGAAGCAGUUUUUGUUUGAACAACUGUGGUCAUCCUGGGAGGAGUAUCUGUUUGGAUGGUGACCACGGUUUUCUCAAUAACCAAUGGCAUGAAGAUUGCUUCAUAAAUUCUUCAAAACCAGAAGUGGAGGUAUCAAUCUCUGACAGUUGGAUACAAGCAGAAGUAUCUUCAGGAACUUCCAGCACACUCUCUUGUUGAUGAUCAGGAGGCGGCUCAUAUGCUGAAAUAGGAAUGGCAUUCUGAGGAGACUCCACCAUUAAGUCAGAAGGAGAAAGGGGCGUCUCAAUGGAAACUGAGGAAGGGAUCUCAUGAGGCGAAUCCGAAGCUGGAGACUUACGAGCAUCAUCAGAUUGCUGCCCUUUUUCUGGAUUAUCAAGAUCAAUCACCUGAACAUGGAACCGUGACUUUUCCUUCCCACAAACUGUCGCCUCCUUAGGAGGAAGCACUACUGCCCGACUAACUCGCAAUUUGAUCCUUGUGCCCGAAGAUGAUGCACCUUCCUUGUUGUCAACCUGAAUCUCAGACUUACGUCCAAGAAGCCCAAUAGAAUCAUCUUCCUUUCCAACCUUGAUUUUAAUGAAUCUAACACCAUUACUUUUCAGCCAAGCGUUGGUGUUAGCCAAGAUAGGCUGAAAUCUCUCAACGAUGGAUGUGCAAUCCUUGUGUGACCAUUGGAUUAAAUUAAGUGGAGCUUCCUCAACCCUUCGUAAAAUAUAUUCAGGAUCAAGUACAUGCCCAUCAUCAAUCAUCCCUUGUGGAAUAUCCACUAAGUUCAAAUCAACAACUUGCUCAACAGUGAGCCUGCAGUAAUCCAUCUUCAGAAUUUCUACCUCUGUACGGAGAUCUAUCCAGAUAUCCUCAAUACGAUGCACGUGCACGAAGGAUUUUUUGAUCUUCUCCUUCAUACCCUGGUAAUCAAAAUCAGCUCUAGACUUAAACGUUUUGAGCUUAAUUUCUUGCAUCUCGGUCUCCAUGGCCUUGGCUUUAACAGAGGUGACAAGAGAAUACCGACCAAUUUUUAAUGGGUUUGUUGUAGAGAUCCCCAUUCCAACCUUAUGUCUGACAGACUGAUGAGUGUGGACAGCCAUGAUUUGUCUUCCCAACUCCAUAAGAAUGAUCUUAUAAGUUGGGUAUCUAGGGAGCAUGUAUGGCUGCCCACUAUAGCAUUCGACUCUCAUAUAUGUAAAGGUCGGGAAUUGAAGAAACAGUCAUCCAUACUCAUUCACUCUUUUCCAUGCCUCAUCGGAUACUCUUCUGUUCUUCAGAUUUUUGUCAAACUGGCACAUAAAAUAACCAAAGAAUGCAUCUUGAAUCCUUUUGAAAUGCAAUCUGUUGGGUCUCAAAGGCAGCUGAUCAUAAUAUUCCCAUACCGUUAUAAGCAAGUGAUCAACCUUGGUAGAAAGACCUGGAAAAUGUUUGAGUGAUGCUGCCAAGUACACCAAAUAUGAGUUCAUGUAAAAAGUCAUGGUGGAAGAGACUGUUGAAAGUUGCUCGCACAAGGUAUCACUGAUGACUUCUCCCCAUGAGAUGUGAUGAGAUCGCCUUAUGAACAUGAUAAAUUGGUACAUCCAUGGCUCAAAAACAUUAGAAUGUUCAAAACCCAUCAUCCUGCUAAAGAGAGUUAUGAUGUCCCCAAUCUCCCAUUUGAAGUCACAACGGUACAACUUGGCCCACCUUGAGAAAGCGGCUCGUGGCUCAUGGAUCCACCUGUUGAUAUGACGUUUGCAAUCCUUCUCUCUUUUGACAUAGUACUCAACUGCACUAUCUUUGGAGAUCUCCAUAUAAACAGGUGUUGGAGGUAUUCUGAAGACUUUCUCAAUUGUGUCUGCGUCAAGGCGGAUUAUUGCUUCACCAUCAUUUUUAAUGGUUCUUGUCUCCUUGUCAAAGUGAUGGGCGCAAGCGAGAACAAAUUCAGGUUCUAGGGCAGCCACUAGGAAAGAAGAUGCGUGAUGGAUAUGGCUGUCCAAUAGCCGCUGCAUAUUGCUAUCUUGCGGAUCCUCAACCCUCUUGACAAAUUCGGACAUGUCCACAUGCCCUAUCUCUAUAUCUCUUAUGCGAUCCAAAGGAGAAGAGACUUGAGAAGGUGAAACCUCAUUUUGGUACUUGUCAUAUUUAUACUUCAUCUUUUUUGGAAUUGGAGAUGACGGCAAAUUUGACAUUGAAGGACAACCUGAAAUACUGUGAUGAAGACUUAAAAGUGUUAAGGUAACAUCAUGAUCAGCUGCAACUAACAUUUUUCCUUCUUCAAAUGGGAAGAACUUCAACUCUUCCACAUCACGACUUUGUGAGAGAAAAAUGGGAAAUAAAUGGGAAUGGGGGAAUCUUGACUUUGACCAAUUUUGGAUCUUGGGAAAAAUUUUGCAAGUAUACAAGUUGGAAAGGGAGAGGGCAAAGCUAGCCAUGAGAUCAGUCAUAGCUGAAUCUCAAGGUGUUUUUGUUGACCUUGAAGAGGAACAAGAAGCACUUGAGGGCAUAGUGGGCUCUCGGCAUGGCCCACGUAUCCGCAAACCCACCAUCACCUCGCUCAUUGCUUUUGCUUCCUCUAGUAGAGUACCUGGCACUGUUCCACUUCCAUUAUCACAAUCAGGGUCCAUAGGUGAUUAUUUUGUGCCCAGGAACACACCUGGAGCACAACCAUCAUUAGAGGCCACUGGAUGGAAUAACGAGGUACAUGAGAAAACUGACAUUGCAGUAGCUGAUUUUUGGUACUUCAACAACAUUGCAUUCAAUGUGGCAGACAAUGCUUAUUGGCUGAAUUUGGUGACUGCUAUGAUAGUUUCAGGAAAGGGGUAUAAGGCCCCUUCUCGCAAGGAUUUGAGUGGGAGGUUAGUAAAUUACUACAUAGUCCACUUGAUUUCAUUUUUAAUUAUUUUUUAGAUUUCUUGUUUAUUAAAUCAAAAUUGUGUACUAAGACCUAAUUUCACUUUGCACUUACAGGUUGCUCACAAAUGCAGUUGCUAGGGCAAGAGAAGUGAUGGAGGAUCAAAAAAUUGAAUGGGCAAAUUAUGGCUGCACCAUUCUUUCUGAUGGGUGGACAGAUGGCAAGAACCGCACCAUCAUCAAUUUUUUGGUUGCUUGCAAGGAGAAUGUAGUGCUCUUGAAAUUUGUUGAUGCCUCCAGCAAAGUGAAAAAUGCAGAAACAUUGGUUGGAAUGUUGAGCAUGUCGUCAUGGAGGUGGGGGUAGAGAAUGUGGUGCAAAUCAUCACAGAUAAUGCAGCAGCAUAUGUGUCUAGGAAGAAACCUCCAAGAGAGGCACCCCACUCUUUUUUGGACACCUUGUGCAACACAUGUCCUUGACCUUCUUUUGGAGGACAUAAGAAAACUUGAGUGGGUGACUCCAAUUGUGGAAUAUGCAAGGAGGAUCACCAAAUAUAUUUACAAUCACCUUUUGGGUCCUAAAUUUGAUGAGACAGCACACCCAAGGGAAAGAUUUGGUGAGAGUUGGUGUCACAAGGUUUGCAACGAUUUUGUGAGUGGAGAAUGGCUUAACUCACCUUAUUCAAAGAAGCUUGAAGGAGAGGUCGUCGCAUGCAUAGUCUUCUAGAGCCAAUUUGCACAAAGGGCUGCAAAGAUUGUGAAGGUGUCAAAGCCCUUGGUUCGAGUUCUUCGCUUGGUGGAUGGGGAUAAAACCCCAAUGGGAUAUCUUUAUGCGGCCAUGGAUAGGGCCAAGGAGUCUAUCAAAAAUCACUACAAGGGGGAUAGACUCAAAUUUGAUCCCAUUUGGGAAAUUGUUGAUAGGAGGUGGAACAAUCAGCUCCACCAACCCAUUCAUGCAGUAGGGUACUUCCUCAAUCCUCGUUUUAGGUUCGGGGGUUCUUACUCAGAUCCGAAUGGAGAAGUCAUGGAGGGCCUCAGUACAUGCAUUGAGAGGAUGGUACCCAAUGUUGAGGAGAGAGACCUCAUUGUGAGUGAGCUCCAAAAUUAUGAGGGAGGAAGGGGUAAGCUAUUCUCUUCAGAGUUGGCUAGGAGAGGAAGAA